rnacentral:rRNA from 1 species
UGGGGAAUUUUGGACAAUGGAGGAAACCCUGAUCCAGCAAUCCUGUGUGUGUGAAGAAGGUUUUAGGAUUGUAAAACACUUUUAGUAGGGAAGAAAAACAUGAUGGUAUCUACAGAUGAAGCAACGGUUAAAUACGUGCCAGCAGCCGCGGUAAUACGUAUGUUGCGAGCGUUAUCCGGAAUUAUUGGGCUUAAAGGGCAUCUAGGCGGUAAGACAAGUUGAAGGUGAAAACCUGGGGCUCAACCAUAGGCUUGCCUACAAAACUGUUGAACUAGAGUACUGGAAAGGUGGGUGGAACUACACGAGUAGAGGUGAAAUUCGUAGAUAUGUGUAGGAAUGCCGAUGAUGAAGAUGACUCACUGGACAGAAACUGACGCUGAAGUGCGAAAGCUAGGGGAGCAAACAGG